UUAUUAAGUAAAUAUAGAUUGAGAUUAGUCCCACUUUGCAUUAGUCUGCUCUGAACGCAUUGCUUGUAGGUGUGUGCAUCAAUCCUCGCCUUUACAUCUUAACAGAGAUCUCGCUGGGACCAUUAAAGACGACUACUUGACGGGAUAUGAAACGGCUUUAAGUGGGGACCAAACAAACCUAAAAAAUGUCCCUUGUUUUUCUCGUUGGGGCAGUGUCCCGGGGGCCAGCGGGAUUCAUCAGGAGGUAACUGACAGUCAACGUUGCAAAAUCGCCAGCACCAGCAGAGGAACUAAAUUCAUGGGAAUGAUUUGAGAGAUAACAAUCGGUCAAGUACGAGAGUGUCACAUUCGCUAAAUGAACUCCUAAUAAGAAGUCCCUCGGUCCUCUCGGCGACGCCAAAUGUACUAUCAUCUUUGAUUUCAAGAAGGUGAUACUUAGGCUUCUCUCGACCGAUGCCAAAGCGGAUGUCCCACAGCCCCUAAGAAUAACAGGGGAGAAGAGAAGUGAGGAAUAGAAGCGAACUCGCCACUUCCGAUCGCCCGAAUUUGCCUUCUGUCUCAAACGCCUGUUCGAAAAGAUACGAUUCGAGUAUGUUGCUUGUGUGGAUAUCACACUUCCGGAGAGAAGUCUGAAAGAUGAUGAUUCCUUAGAUUAUUCUGCAUCAUGCAUACGGUUUUCUCAAAAUUAGGAAAGGUAAUGGGAAUCUACUUUGAUGGAAACUGGAGCUAUCAGAGAUCAGAUCUUCAAGCAAAAUCAUUAGCUCGUUUGGUAAAGGAAAAAUCCAUAAACAUCGUCUACGAACUAGCCCUAGAACAAUUUUCUUUCACAAUUCUUCGUUUAGUUUCCCGAUGACGAAAACUAUUAUUUGCAUCAACCUAUUGUAAUUUACAUCACUAUUGCGUAUCAAUAUGUGUGAAUAUAGUUUAGUUUCGGCCUUAUUAUAAAUUUACUGCUACUACUAAUGCAUUAGUUGGAUAAUACUGUGUGGUGAGAAAUAUCACAUUGUGCAAAAUCGGAUGACCGUGACCAUGAAUUAGAACCAUAAAUUAGACCAUAAUAUAAUUGCACUCACUUUUCGCUUUGUACUUUGUAAGCAAGUACAUACAUAUAUAUAAACACACAAAAAUACAUAUUUUCAUACCUAUGCCCGCAUAAGCAUGCACGCACAUAUUUACAUACUUACGUGGGUACUAAUAGGCAAAAGGCGGGAUAAAAACCCACGAUAGCAUACUUGUAAUAUUAAGCACAUAUACCAUUAGUAGUGUAAUGAAAUUCAAUAAUUUGUGUCUCCGAAUUUUUAGGUCACAUAAAACCAAUUUUUUUUAUUGUACAUUUCUUUUUUUUAAUCGGCUUACUUAAAGUCUAACAUAAAGUGAUAAAAUCUUAAAUCUAUUUAUAACUAAACAAGCUCAAGAUUGUGAUUAAGCUUUUUGCUAAUGCGUUGCUCUUUAAAAAACUGGAAUAUCUCUUAUUUUCAAGUGGUUUUGAUAACAGGAGCUAGCUAAUGGAUCCGGAUGUUCUCGAAAUUUAAGUUCGUAUUUUUCAGACCUCUGCUAGUUUCUUUACCAUUAAAAUACCAAGAUAUUUAUGAACGUUUUCAUUUCGAAAGUACUAUGGUGAGUCGUUAUCGCUCUAAGGCUUUUUAUCUGAGAUCUCUGUGCUAUGUUAAUGUUUGUUGCACAGGUCGCACCCCACAUUAGAAUACCAUACAUUCAAAUCGGCUUUAUUACCACAUUGUAUAUCAGAACUUUGUUAUAAAGACAUAGCUUACAACUUUUAAUUGAAAGUUUAAAUUUGCUGCUCAUAUUUUAUGCUAGUUAUUUUGGUGGAUAUAUGUAUUCUUCAUGUGAGCCUUCUGUCUAAGCGAAUGCCCAGUAUUGUCUUUUAUAUAAAAGGCCGUCGUGCCACACCUUAUCGAAUGAUUGGGCUACAUCAAGGAAUAUUGCUUAAUAGUGCUCUCUGUGCUCGAAUGCUUUUCUGAUUUCUUUAUUUAUUCAAAUUACUUGCUCUACAGUGCCAUGCUUUUGACGGUUCCCUUAUUGGUGUGUUUGAAUUAUAUUAUUUUUAUGGAGAAAAGGGGACAUCAUUAAUAGUAACAUUUCUUUGAAUAUUUUCGAAAAUUAGAGUAAGAGGCUUAUUGGUCUGUAAGAAGACGACUGUGUUAAGUAUUUCUCGGGUUUAGCUAUCAGGAUGAUCUGCGACUUUUCCAUGAAUUUGGAUAAUAUUCAAAAAAUAAAAUUGCAUUAAAAAGCAAGGAGAGCAUUACUGCAGCAAUAAUUGGUAGCUUCAUUAGCAUAUUUGCAGUAAUUUCAACUUUGUGAAUCUUUUAAAAUUGGCAGCUCAAAGUCGUUUUUUCGACAAUCAGGCUGAAUUGCCAUCUCUAGGUGGUUUGCGAAGCAAAUUACUUUUUCCUUAUCACUUCGAGCCAAUUUACUACUCACGUAUCUUAUGGACAUGUAGGAAUCUACCGUGGCAUAAUGUGUUUUUGGGCUUUCCAAAGUAGUUUUGUUUGUUGGUUGUAUUUGGGCUAAAUUUCUUUAGAAUUUGGCGAUGAAAAUAAGUACAAUAUUUGAUUAUCGACUCUUUACAUAAAUUAAAUUACCAUAUUAUUAUAUAGGCAAUAGGUUUCGUUUUUAAAUAUAGUCUGUAUACUUGUUAAAUAAAUUAUGGGUACACUCGUAGUUUAUAUGGUAGCUGCCUCUGUAUUUCAGCAUUUUGCGAUGAAAAUAUUUACAAUAUUUUAUUCCCAACUCUUUACAUAAAAAUAUUACCAUAUUAUUAUAUAGUUCUAGGUUUAGUUUUAAAAUAUAUAGACGUCUUAAACAAAUUAUUUGUUGAAUUUGCAAAAUCUUCAUAGUAUAAAAUACGGAAGAUAUAUGUAUUUCUUUCUUAAAAAGUUGUUUAAAAUUAGCUUACGAAACAAUGUUGUGUCAUGCCAUGCUCACUAGCAAUACUGGCAACAUAUUUUAAUAUUUUUAUAUGAUUGAAUAUUUAGUAAAAAUAAGUAACGCGUCUAGUUGCAGACCCCAUGGUGGUGGGAAAAAAAUCUAACGAAAUAAAACAUAUAUUGUUUGGCAAAGAAAA